GACGAGGGGUCCUAGCGUUGUUCGGAAUCACUGGGCGUAAAGCGUAUGUAGGCGGCCUGUUAAGUCAGUUGUGAAAUCCCACGGCUCAACCGUGGAAUUGCAAUUGAACUGGCGGGCUUGAGUGCAGGAGAGGUUGGUAGAAUACCUGGUGUAGUGGUGAAAUACGUAGAUAUCAGGUGGAAUACCGGUGGCGAAGGCGGCCAACUGGCCUAGCACUGACGCUGAGAUACGAAAGCGUGGG
rnacentral:rRNA from 1 species